rnacentral:rRNA from 1 species
GACGAACGCUGGCGGCGUGCUUAACACAUGCCAGUCGUACGGUAAGGCCCUUUCGGGGGUACACAAGUGGCGAACGGGUGAGUAACACGUGAGUAACCUGCCCACAACUUUGGGAUAACGCUAGGAAACUGGUGCUAAUACUGGAUAUGUGCCCCUGCUGCAUGGUGGGGGUUGGAAAGCUCCGGCGGUUGUGGAUGGACUCGCGGCCUAUCAGCUUGUUGGUGGGGUAGUGGCCUACCAAGGCGGCGACGGGUAGCCGGCCUGAGAGGGUGACCGGCCACAUUGGGACUGAGAUACGGCCCAGACUCCUACGGGAGGCAGCAGUGGGGAAUAUUGCACAAUGGGCGCAAGCCUGAUGCAGCAACGCCGCGUGCGGGAUGACGGCCUUCGGGUUGUAAACCGCUUUCAGCAGGGACGAAGCUUUUUGUGACGGUACCUGCAGAAGAAGCACCGGCUAACUACGUG